GUGGCUGUGAAGCACUUGAAAUGUGGCUAGGGUGACGAAGAUCCAAAUUUUAAUUUCAACUUCAGUGGCCAUGUGGAACUGGUAGCCAUCGUCAGACGGCACGGAAUGACGGACAUCAGGGACAGGACCACGCAGGAAGGGCUGAGGUGCCCCCCCAGGCUGUCCGACUCCAGAACCUGUGGCUUCCCCAGGGGCACCCAGUGCCAGGAGCGAGGCAAACACGGCUUCAGGGUCCGAAGACAGGCCCUCUUCGUCCUUCCUGUGGAUCCUGCUUACUGAGCAUCUGUCACCCCAGGCCACGCGCCCUGGGCUCCACCUCCUUCAACGCUGAUCCUGAUACUGACUCUAAUGACAGUGCUCUUGUCCCAUGCCACACAGGAGUAAUGGAAGCUCAGAGAGAUUGAGAAACCUGUCCGAGGUCACCCAGCCUUUGGGGAAGGUCACACCGGCAUAAAUGCAAAAUGCACUAUUCUUGCUCCUGUUUCUCAAACUCCAGACCUGAGGGAAACGGAAAAAAGAAGGUACCACAGGGGCUCCCCAGAGACCCUCCACCACCACCGAGGAGGCGCCAUUCCCCUGAGUGGGCCGUCCACGCAAAACCGUGCUGUGUGGAGAGUGCCAGGGCUGGGCAUGCGGUUCUCAGGGGACAGGUCACCUGUGAGUUUUUGGCUUUGUGACAACUAUUUCGAUCUUGCUUUAGGUGACUGCUUUUUUUGUUUGUUUUCCUGGUUUGGGUGUUUCUGUGGUGCUGGAGUCAAGCCCGGGGCCUCGUGGGUGCUAGGCAACCCCCCAUCACGCAACUCCAUCUUCAGCCCUUAUUUUAUUUUGAGACAGGGUCUCACUAAGUUGCCCAGGCUAACCUCAAACUUGCAAUCUCUUCCCUUCUGCCUCAGCCUCCUGAGAAGCUGGGGUUACACCUGGGUGUCCCCACCACCUGACACAAGGUCUCACUCUGAUGCCCAGGCUGGCCUCUAAUUCCUGGGUGUGAGUGAGCCUUCUGCCUCAGCCUCCCAAGUGGCUGGGCCUACAGGUGUGGGCCACAGACCAUGACUUUAAAUGGGACUUUUGUUUUGAUGGUAAAGAAGAGGAUUUGUUCUUUGUUGCAAGUAAAUUCAUUGUCACUGUGACCUGUGUGACUUUGGA
rnacentral:lncRNA from 1 species